UACGUAGGGGGCUAGCGUUGUCCGGAUUUAUUGGGCGUAAAGAGCGUGUAGGCGGCCAGAUAGGUCCGUUGUGAAAACUGGAGGCUUAACCUCCAGCCGUCGACGGAAACCAUUUGGCUAGAGUCCGGAAGAGGAGAGUGGAAUUCCUGGUGUAGCGGUGAAAUGCGCAGAUAUCAGGAAGAACACCCGUGGCGAAGGCGGCUCUCUGGGACGGUACUGACGCUGAGACGCGAAAGCGUGGGGAGCGAACAGG
rnacentral:rRNA from 1 species